GCCUUCGUAGUGUAGUGGUCAGCACGCUCGACGCGUAACCGAGUGAUCCGUGGUUCGAUUCCCGGCGAAGGCG
rnacentral:tRNA from 1 species